CCCUGCCCGCACGCGCGUUCGGAAAGACCACCGCUCACCAUCCCAAAAGCCUAUCACCGUGAUUCCGUGAAGACCGAAUUCUCCGCUGCCUCCUCGGAUCGGUUCGUGGGCCUCCAUGCCGAAGCGAUCGAUGAUUCGAUCGAUCGCUUGGCCAUCCCCUCCCACCGCAUCUUCCUCCCUCGCCUGCACGGGCACUCAAGAAAACAACCCACCGAGCCGUACGAUAGAUUCCUCCCGCAUCGUCUGCCAGCCGCCGCCGUGCUCUAGGGCGAGUCCAUCCGCCCUCGUGAGCGCUUCCCCUUGCCGUCGACUGCCCGUCGUCGCGCUCCUUCUCCAGUGCGCCGCAUCGCCCGCGACCACGCCAUCGCAAGCACCCACCGUCGACCGCUGUGCGCCUGCCGCCGAGCCCCUCUCCUAUCCAGCCACCCGUCCACCUCUGCUCCCCGUCUCCCUGCUGCAGCGCACCCUCCUGCCCCUGCCGUUCCUCCCUUCGCCUGCUGCUGGCCCGAACCCCCUCUGGUCCAUCUCCAGCCCAGCCGCCCCUAGCUCUGCUGCUGCUGCUGCUCUGUAGGUGGUCUCUGUACUUAUCUGCACACUGCACCAAAGGUGUUUGACAAAAUGUAUCGCCAGGAUUGGCAUCCACAGCCUUGGGUUAAAGCGAAGGCAAACUUGAACAAGCUCAUGGGCAGCAUUAUCAGACAUGUUGUCGGGGGAUCAACACGAGUGGAGUGGUAUACUGGCUCGAGACUGCAAUCAAGAUCAGCAAGCUCGAGCCAAGGAGAUAUUGACAAGCUAGGCAUGCCGGUGACGCCAAGGAGACCCUGCAGGAGUGCGUCUCCGAGUUCAUCUCCUUCGUGACCAGCGAGUGAGUUGGUCGGCUCGGUAGCGUCACCCUUGGCUUCCUUGUCUCAGCUGGGUUGGUUUUGGUUCGGAUUUUGAUGUGUGAUUUUGCUGUUGUCUGGGUGUUGGUGUAGGGCGAGUGGCAAGUGACAGAAGGAUAUGUACUUAGUAGGAGCCAUGAGUUUUAUUGAACGCGACUAAUAGAAGAAUUGGAGGUUUGUUCAGCUGGCCAGAGCAGAAAAACAUAAUUAGUCUUCUAAAACAACAAUGUGGAUGAAGUGCAUGUGUAUUAGCCUCCUAAUCAUUUCUUUUAUUUGUUCAUUGCGUCAAGGAGAGUUUUGUUUUCUGUAGUCAUACAACUGUGUUUUCGUUGUAUUUUGUAUGAAUCAUCCUCACUCAUUGUGUACUAUUAUUUUUCAUUAGAGAAGGUUUUGAGUUUUCUCUUCUAUUUCAUUUCCCGUAGAAAUGCAUGUAGUGCUGGCGGAAGGAGAUGGGGCUGAGUCAAUAUAAAGGGAGAAAGAAAGAUGUUAUGAAGUAGAAUGACAAUGAAGUGAAUCGAUGUUGGAGAAAGAUAGGGAAUAGAGUGCUAUUGUGAACCAAACUGUAAGGAUGUUGCGAGUCUUCUAAUUGUUGUAACAUGCCUUCUUAAUGUAUGUUUUUUCUCCAUUGCAAUGCACGGUACCCACCCGUGUCAUUCACAAGAAUUGUCAUUAGGUUGACUGUUUU